UACGGAGGGAGCUAGCGUUGUUCGGAAUUACUGGGCGUAAAGCGCACGUAGGCGGCUUUGUAAGUUAGAGGUGAAAGCCCGGAGCUCAACUCCGGAACUGCCUUUUAGACUGCAUCGCUUGAAUCCAGGAGAGGUGAGUGGAAUUCCGAGUGUAGAGGUGAAAUUCGUAGAUAUUCGGAAGAACACCAGUGGCGAAGGCGGCUCACUGGACUGGUAUUGACGCUGAGGUGCGAAAGCGUGGGGAGCGAACAGG
rnacentral:rRNA from 1 species